UCUCAAACUCUAUCACUAACUGCAGUAUGUCGCAGAUGUGAGGGGAACCAGGUUUGUGCUAAAGUGACAGCAGUGAUAGAAACAGACCAACUUCAGAUCUUACUGAGGUAGCCUGUUCUACCCUAGCACAGAG
ensembl:snoRNA SNORA66 Small nucleolar RNA SNORA66